AACGAGGCAUCGCAGGUGAGAACAACCAAGAGGCAUAUAUAUUUCACCUCGAGGUCUUCUUAAAGGUCUUUCGGCCGAAGACGCGUAAAAGAUUGAUUUCGAAAUCGUUUCGACAAUAAAGAGAUUUUCUUGUUGGAAUUCUACCACGUUUGUUGAAGAGAUAUACAAGAGAAAGAUAGAGAAUAAUUAACGCUAGAAUUAUCGAUUUAUAAAUAUGUGUGAUUAUGAUUAACGGCGUCGUUCGAUUUAUGUUCCGCAAUCUGGGGUCAAUGGAAAUUUCAAACGACGAAGUUCAAUGUGGAAAGAAACUUUCGAGUGAAAGGUCAGCGGAUUUUCUAAAGCGUAAACGUAACGUUUCAAGAGGUGACAAAUUGACGGGAAAUGCGGACGGCCAUGAAAAAUCUCGACGAGAUCGAAAGGCUCGAUCGAAACGUUUUCAUUGGUCUUAGAAAAAGAAGAAAAAAAAAAAAGAAAAAGAUCCGUCAUCGUAUCUGUGUACAUAAUAUAAUAUAAUUACAGCUCACACGACGAAUUAUUUAUGUAUUCAAACAAGAUUGUUUGCGCAACUUCGAAAUCCAACGAAUUCGAUUUAAUUAUUAAAGCGAAGUAGUAUCGGGAAGUUCAAAGAACUUUAAUCGAAAUAAGAAAUUUCAAAACAAGAAAAGAUUGUAAAUAUUUGUGAAAUUUAUAUUGCUGUUAAUGAGAAUGUAAUUUUAAUAAUAAAGAGUUCGCUUUAACGAGCCAACAAUGAGAGAAAGUGCGAACUCAUUGAAUGGGAAGAAAUUUCACGGGCAAUUGGCACUCGAAAGAUCUAGCCAAAGGAUCAACGUACCUAAACAGCCACUUAAAGACCGUUCAACGAAAAAUCGAAAUUCAAAAUUCCAAGUGAUGCUUAAAAUCCCCCUCGUAAUAAUUUAAAAUUAUAAUCUCGAAUAAAUAUUACUUGAUAUAGAUGAUAAUACAUAUUAGAAAA